GAUGAACGCUGGCGGCGUGCCUAAUACAUGCAAGUCGAGCGAACGGACGAGAAGCUUGCUUCUCUGAUGUUAGCGGCGGACGGGUGAGUAACACGUGGAUAACCUACCUAUAAGACUGGGAUAACUUCGGGAAACCGGAGCUAAUACCGGAUAAUAUUUUGAACCGCAUGGUUCAAAAGUGAAAGACGGUCUUGCUGUCACUUAUAGAUGGAUCCGCGCUGCAUUAGCUAGUUGGUAAGGUAACGGCUUACCAAGGCAACGAUGCAUAGCCGACCUGAGAGCGUGAUCGGCCACACUGGAACUGAGGCGCGGUCCAGACUCCUACGGGAGGCAGCAGUAGGGAAUCUUCCGCGAUGGGCGAAAGCCUGGCGGAGCCACGCCGCGUGAGUGAUGAAGGUCUUCGGAUCGUAAAACUCUGUUAUUAGGGAAGAACAUAUGUGUAAGUAACUGUGCACAUCUUGACGGUACCUAAUCAGAAAGCCACGGCUAACUACGUG
rnacentral:rRNA from 1 species